rnacentral:snRNA from 1 species
GUGCUCGCUUCAGCAGCACAUAUACUAAAAUUGGAAAGAUACAGAGAUUAGCAUGGCCCCUGCACAAGGAUGACACACAAAUUCGUGAAGCAUUCCAUAUUUUU